ACGCAAGUUGCGCCCUAAGCCGUUUGGCCGAGGGCACGUCUGCCUGGGCGUCAAUCAUCUAUUCGUCACCCAACAAUCUGGGUACGGAAGUUGGCCUCCCGUGCUCCUGUAGUGCGGCUGGUCUAAAAUCGAGCAUCGGACUGAUGAUCUCCGAGGCACGCGGUGGUUGUUCAUUCUUACCUCGUGAUGUUGCCCCGGAGCGUCUCCCAUACGGAGCUCAACGACCCUAGAUUCAUAACGAUGCGACCCCAGGUCAGGCGGGGCCACCCGCUGAAUUUAAGCAUAUCAAUAAGCGGAGGAAAAGAAACUAACAAGGAUUCCCCUAGUAACGGCGAGCGAACCGGGAAAUGCCCACCAUGAAAAUCGAGCCCCUUCGGUGCUCGA
rnacentral:rRNA from 1 species